UACGGAGGAUGCAAGCGUUAUCCGGAAUGAUUGGGCGUAAAGCGUCCGCAGGUGGCAAUGUAAGUCUGCUGUCAAAGCGUCUGGCUCAACCAGAUAAAGGCAGUGGAAACUACAUAGCUAGAGUAAGGUAGGGGUAGAGGGAAUUCCUGGUGUAGCGGUGAAAUGCGUAGAGAUCGUAAGGAAGACCAGUGGCGAAGGCGGGUCUCUGGACAGUUCCUGACACUGAGGCACGAAGGCCAGGGGAGCAAACGGG
rnacentral:rRNA from 1 species